AGAGUUUGAUCCUGGCUCAGGACAAACGCUGGCGGCGUGCAUUAAGCAUGUAAGUCGAACGGAGCCGCGCAAGCGGUUCAGUGGCAGACGGCUGAGGAAGACGGACGAAACCUACCCCUUGGAGGGGGAUAACUCCGCGAAAGCGGGGCUAAGACCGCGUACGCUCGGUGGGGGGAGCACUCACCGAGGAAAACGGCAAC
rnacentral:rRNA from 1 species